GCCGGGCAUGGUAGCGUGUGCCUGUAAUCCCAGCUACUCAGGAGGCUGAGGCAGGAGAAUUGCUUGAACCUGGGAGGUAGGAUUGCAGUGAGCUGAGAUCACACCACUGCACUCCAGCCUGGGUGACAGAGCGAGACCCUGUCUCAA
ensembl:misc_RNA Metazoa_SRP Metazoan signal recognition particle RNA